rnacentral:rRNA from 1 species
CCUACGGGAGGCAGCAGUGGGGAAUAUUGGACAAUGGGGGCAACCCUGAUCCAGCCAUGCCGCGUGUGUGAAGAAGGCCCUCGGGUUGUAAAGCACUUUCAGCGAGGAAGAACGCCUAGCGGUUAAUACCCGCUAGGAAAGACAUCACUCGCAGAAGAAGCACCGGCUAACUCCGUGCCAGCAGCCGCGGUAAUACGGAGGGUGCAAGCGUUAAUCGGAAUUACUGGGCGUAAAGCGCGCGUAGGUGGCUUGAUAAGCCGGUUGUGAAAGCCCCGGGCUCAACCUGGGAACGGCAUCCGGAACUGUCAAGCUAGAGUGCAGGAGAGGAAGGUAGAAUUCCCGGUGUAGCGGUGAAAUGCGUAGAGAUCGGGAGGAAUACCAGUGGCGAAGGCGGCCUUCUGGACUGACACUGACACUGAGGUGCGAAAGCGUGGGUAGCAAACAGGAUUAGAUACCCUGGUAGUCCACGCCGUAAACGAUGUCGACCAGCCGUUGGGUGCCUAGCGCACUUUGUGGCGAAGUUAACGCGAUAAGUCGACCGCCUGGGGAGUACGGCCGCAAGGUUAAAACUCAAAUGAAUUGACGGA